rnacentral:ncRNA from 1 species
AAAAAAUCAAUGACAGGAACUAGUAGCAAAAAUGACUUUGUAUAGAGAGUCGGUGGCUGGUGAAAACCGAUCAAAGCGUUUUGUGAAUCCAUCCUCGAGUGAAGAGCCGAAGGUAAGUAAGCUUUUCCGGUGAAGAACCGUUACAUUUAAACGAGCCGGCAAUAGGAAUAAUUCUAUUGCAAUCAGGGUGGCAACGCGGGUUAACUCUCGUCCCUGUU